UCCCUGGUAGUCCAGUGGUUGAGACUCUGCACUUCCAAUCCAGGGGCCAUGGGUUCAAUACCUGGUCAGGGAA
rnacentral:tRNA from 1 species